GGAAGUGUGGCUCAGAGGUAGAGGGCUUACCUUAGCAGGCACGAGGUCCUGGGUUCAAUUCCCAGCACCCCCA
rfam:Cricetulus griseus cell line CHO-K1, whole genome shotgun sequence.